rnacentral:rRNA from 1 species
AUUGAACGCUGGCGGCAUGCCUUACACAUGCAAGUCGAACGGUAACAGGUCUUCGGAUGCUGACGAGUGGCGAACGGGUGAGUAAUACAUCGGAACGUGCCUAGUAGUGGGGGAUAACUACUCGAAAGAGUGGCUAAUACCGCAUGAGAUCUACGGAUGAAAGCAGGGGAUCGCAAGACCUUGUGCUACUAGAGCGGCCGAUGGCAGAUUAGGUAGUUGGUGGGAUAAAAGCUUACCAAGCCGACGAUCUGUAGCUGGUCUGAGAGGACGAUCAGCCACACUGGGAGUGAGAAACGGCCCAGACUCCUACGGGAGGCAGCAGUGUGGAAUUUUGGACAAUGGGCGCAAGCCUGAUCCAGCAAUGCAACGUGCAGGAUGAAGGCCUUCGGGUUGUAAACUGCUUUUGUACGGAACGAAAAGCCCCGGGUUAAUACCCUGGGGUCAUGACGGUACCGUAAGAAUAAGCACCGGCUAACUACGUGCCAGCCGCCGCAGUAA